AAGAGUGUGACUAAAAUCACAGCCCUAGCCUAUGUAGCUAGGGCUGGCAAACAUUGUAGACACGGAGGGCUGGUCCCUGCUACAAAGGUAGGUCAGGGCUGUAAAAACUGCUUUUAAAAUUAAGGUGACCUAAGCCCCACUGGCACCAUCAGUAUGUCGACUGAAGAAUUUCUAGUGUAGAAAUACCCAGUUAUACUGGGGAAAUAUUCUUUUGUUUGCCAGUAUUAGCUGUGUCUGCACAGGGACAGUUAUACCAGCAAACCCAUUUCAAUGAAGACAAGAUCUUGUUUAAAAAAAAAAAUCACCUCCCAAGUGCCAGUCAUGCUGCUAUAUCUUAUUUCAUUACUGGUAUACGUCUCUAGCCCUUAUAGAGUUAAAAUUUUGCACUAAAGUAUGAGUUAAUAAAGCUGGGUCUGUGUUGCUUUUUAGUAAAUGUUGGAGACAACACACUACAAGGCUUUUAGUUCUAUCAGCAGUGCUGGAGACACCUAUGUAAACAAUUGGCCUAAUUUUCAGAAGUGCUGAGAGCACCCACAACUAAGGAAGUCGGUGGAUGCUGAGCUCCUCUGAAUAUCAGCCACCUAUUGGGACACCCUGAAGGAAUGAUUUAGAAGCUCAACCUUAGGGACCAGUUUUGGAAAAAUCUGUAUGUUCCAGAAUUCAUUAAUAAAA